rnacentral:rRNA from 1 species
AACGUACGCUGGCGGCACGCCUAACACAUGCAAGUCGAACGAAGUAGCAAUACUUAGUGGCAGACGGGUGCGUAACAUGUGGGAAUCUGCCUUUUGGUUCGGAACAACACGGGGAAACUUGUGCUAAUACCGGAUAAGUCCUAACGGAGAAAGAUUUAUCGCCGAAAGAUGAGCCCGCACUUGAUUAGCUAGUUGGUAAGGUAAAAGCUUACCAAGGCAAUGAUCAAUAGCUGUUCUUAGAGGAAGACCAGCCACAUUGGGACUGAGACACGGCCCAGACUCCUACGGGAGGCAGCAGUGGGGAAUCUUGCACAAUGGAGGAAACUCUGAUGCAGCGAUGCCGCGUGAGUGAAGAAGGCCCUUGGGUUGUAAAGCUCUUUUGUCGGGAAAGAUAAUGACUGUACCCGAAGAAUAAGGUCCGGCUAACUUCG